rnacentral:rRNA from 1 species
GCAGAGGGGGCUUAGUGGUGGGGUGACUGCGUACCUUUUGUAUAAUGGGUCAGCGACUUAUAUUCUGUAGCAAGGUUAACCGAAUAGGGGAGCCGGAGGGAAACCGAGUCUUAAUUGGGCGUUAAGUUGCAGGGUAUAGACCCGAAACCCGGUGAUCUAGCCAUGGGCAGGUUGAAGGUUGGGUAACACUAACUGGAGGACCGAACCGACUAAUGUUGAAAAAUUAGCGGAUGACCUGUGGCUGGGGGUGAAAGGCCAAUCAAACCGGGAGAUAGCUGGUUCUCCCCGAAAGCUAUUUAGGUAGCGCCUCGUGAAUUCAUCUCCGGGGGUAGAGCACUGUUUCGGCUAGGGGGCCAUCCCGGCUUACCAACCCGAUGCAAACUGCGAAUACCGGAGAAUGUUAUCACGGGAGACACACGGCGGGUGCUAACGUCCGUCGUGAAGAGGGAAACAACCCAGACCGCCAGCUAAGGUCCCAAAGUCAUGGUUAAGUGGGAAACGAUGUGGGAAGGCCCAGACAGCCAGGAUGUUGGCUUAGAAGCAGCCAUCAUUUAAAGAAAGCGUAAUAGCUCACUGGUCGAGUCGGCCUGCGCGGAAGAUGUAACGGGGCUAAACCAUGCACCGAAGCUGCGGCAGCGAACGUAUCACCCAAGACAACUUUACGGAGUUGACGAUUGACGGAGCGAAGCGACGUCAAAGCGUUCAUUAAAGUCGAGUUGGCUUAGGGAUACGUUCGUUGGGUAGGGGAGCGUUCUGUAAGCCUGUGAAGGUGUGUCGUGAGGCAUGCUGGAGGUAUCAGAAGUGCGAAUGCUGACAUAAGUAACGAUAAAGCGGGUGAAAAGCCCGCUCGCCGGAAGACCAAGGGUUCCUGUCCAACGUUAAUCGGGGCAGGGUGAGUCGACCCCUAAGGCGAGGCCGAAAGGCGUAGUCGAUGGGAAACGGGUUAAUAUUCCCGUACUUGGUGUUACUGCGAAGGGGGGACGGAGAAGGCUAUGUUGGCCGGGCGACGGUUGUCCCGGUUUAAGCGUGUAGGUGUGUGUUCCAGGUAAAUCCGGUUCACUUUAACACUGAGGCGUGACGACGAGGCACUACGGUGCUGAAGCAACAAAUGCCCUGCUUCCAGGAAAAGCCUCUAAGCAUCAGGUAACAUCAAAUCGUACCCCAAACCGACACAGGUGGUCAGGUAGAGAAUACCAAGGCGCUUGAGAGAACUCGGGUGAAGGAACUAGGCAAAAUGGUGCCGUAACUUCGGGAGAAGGCACGCUGACACGUAGGUGAAGUGAUUUACUCAUGGAGCUGAAGUCAGUCGAAGAUACCAGCUGGCUGCAACUGUUUAUUAAAAACACAGCACUGUGCAAACACGAAAGUGGACGUAUACGGUGUGACGCCUGCCCGGUGCCGGAAGGUUAAUUGAUGGGGUCAGCGCAAGCGAAGCUCCUGAUCGAAGCCCCGGUAAACGGCGGCCGUAACUAUAACGGUCCUAAGGUAGCGAAAUUCCUUGUCGGGUAAGUUCCGACCUGCACGAAUGGCGUAAUGAUGGCCAGGCUGUCUCCACCCGAGACUCAGUGAAAUUGAACUCGCUGUGAAGAUGCAGUGUACCCGCGGCAAGACGGAAAGACCCCGUGAACCUUUACUAUAGCUUGACACUGAACAUUGAGCCUUGAUGUGUAGGAUAGGUGGGAGGCUUUGAAGUGUGGACGCCAGUCUGCAUGGAGCCGACCUUGAAAUACCACCCUUUAAUGUUUGAUGUUCUAACGUGGACCCGUAAUCCGGGUUGCGGACAGUGUCUGGUGGGUAGUUUGACUGGGGCGGUCUCCUCCUAAAGAGUAACGGAGGAGCACGAAGGUUGGCUAAUCCUGGUCGGACAUCAGGAGGUUAGUGCAAUGGCAUAAGCCAGCUUGACUGCGAGCGUGACGGCGCGAGCAGGUGCGAAAGCAGGUCAUAGUGAUCCGGUGGUUCUGAAUGGAAGGGCCAUCGCUCAACGGAUAAAAGGUACUCCGGGGAUAACAGGCUGAUACCGCCCAAGAGUUCAUAUCGACGGCGGUGUUUGGCACCUCGAUGUCGGCUCAUCACAUCCUGGGGCUGAAGUAGGUCCCAAGGGUAUGGCUGUUCGCCAUUUAAAGUGGUACGCGAGCUGGGUUUAGAACGUCGUGAGACAGUUCGGUCCCUAUCUGCCGUGGGCGCUGGAGAACUGAGGGGGGCUGCUCCUAGUACGAGAGGACCGGAGUGGACGCAUCACUGGUGUUCGGGUUGUCAUGCCAAUGGCACUGCCCGGUAGCUAAAUGCGGAAGAGAUAAGUGCUGAAAGCAUCUAAGCACGAAACUUGCCCCGAGAUGAGUUCUCCCUGAGACUUAGAGUCUCCUGAAGGAAC